rnacentral:rRNA from 1 species
AACGAACGCUGGCGGCGUGCCUAACACAUGCAAGUCGAGCGCGAAUGGAGCAAUCCUAGUAGAGCGGCGCACGGGUGCGUAACACGUGGGUAAUCUGCCUAGAAGAUGAGGAUAACCAGUCGAAAGACUGGCUAAUACUCGAUAAGCCCACGGGGACUUCGGUCCCUGAGGGAAAAGGUGGCCUCUGUAUACAAGCUAUCACUUCUAGAUGAGCCCGCGGCCCAUCAGCUAGUUGGCGGGGUAAUGGCCACCAAGGCGACGACGGGUAGCUGGUCUGAGAGGACGAUCAGCCACACUGGAACUGAGACACGGUCCAGACUCCUACGGGAGGCAGCAGUGGGGAAUUUUGCGCAAUGGGCGAAAGCCUGACGCAGCAACGCCGCGUGUGUGAUGAAGGUCUUCGGAUUGU